AGUUCACCAAGGUUACAAACUGUACAUGGCAUUGAGUGAAAGUUAAGGGAGACGGAAAUGUGGAGAACUGCAAUGUGGAGCAAAGCCCCCAGGAACAUGAACUAAAAGUCAUUCCCAUGCAUGGCAAGGAGACUGAAAGCGUUUCAAUGCGUCGCUGUUGCACUUGUGAGCGUAGCAGGCCAAGAACGCGAGAUUCCUGCAGUGACGUUGGGCAAAUGGAGGUGGCUGACAGGACAGCAACAGGAUGGAGCAGAUUAUAAUAUCUGAGCAGACUUUCAGUAGUGAUCUGGAGACCAUUCUGUUUUCAGUCUGGGCUGUUAUCACAAGGACAGUGGUAGCAUAAAUAUGACAAAUAACAGCUGUUUUCUGGAAAAAAAAAUUGUCACAUUUGUACUUGCUUGAAUUACAAAGGCGGGUGUGUUAGGAUUUGUGAUCACUGCUCCUCGUGUUUGUUGCCAUGGCAAUAUAAAUCAUAAAUAAAAA